UAGAGACCACAUCUUGUUUAUUUAUUCAUCUGUCCGCCGUCACUUGGGUUGCUUCCAUGUUUUCGCUGCUGUGAAGAAGUGGCUAUGAACACAGGAACAGGAAUGAGGGCUCAAGGCUUCGCUUUCAGUUUCUGGGACAGCCUCGAUACACCUACAUCAGCGAUGGAGACGUGUCACGCUUACAACCCAUCGGUAAAGAGUCGAUUAUAUGAAGGUUCACCUCUCCCUUAAUGAAGUUCAUACCAGCGAAGUGAAAUUGAAGUCUGAAGAACAGGAAGUGAGAUCGAAGUCUGAAGAUACAGCCUGUGCAGACAGAAAAUGCUCAGCUUAAGGUACACAAGAAUCAGCUGCGACUGAAAGAACGGGAGCAGGUGAAAGGGGAGAAGCAGCUGUCAGCCACAGAGGAGAAACUGAAAUUAGCUGCAGAAGAGCUGUGGAACUACAAGGCUCAUGAUCAGCAGAGGGCGGUGGCAGAGCAGAGCAGGGAGGUGGCCUACUUGAAGUGCAGGUCAACAUGGCUGCCAGAGCAUUUCCUUCUUUACCAGAAGUGCCCUCCAUGGGGCACUAUCCCAUGGGCUGCCCUUCAUCACCAUUCAUGGGCUUGGGGCCACCCUCACCUUCUCCACCCUGGUGGUCUCUGGGACCUCACCCUCCACCUCCACCUCCACCUCCACCUCCACCUCUCCCUCCACCUCCAGCAUUUGAGACUUUAGCCGAUCCAGAAGCUGGUGUCACUCCCGUGAGUCACAACAACAAGCACUCUACCAAAAUGCCAAGAAGGACCAGGGCAGUGUGGAUCCGUGGGGGUCUCCUCUCUUAACUGGAAGAUUCUGCACACGCUACCCUAAAGGCCACCCUAUGGGCUCCUGGGCACAUCUGCCUCCUGAACCUUGGUGGCUCUGAGGAACACCCUAAACCCCUCCACCUACACCACUUGGUAAAAUGAUCUGAGCGGGUCUUUUGCAGAUCCAGAUUUUGCUCCCGUGAUUGACAACAAAACUGACUCUACCAAAAGGACCAAGAAGGACAAGUUCCACUAUGACAUGUCGUGCAGAAGAUUGAUGCAAGUUACAUCUGAAGGGAAUCCUCUUUGCCUCCUGGAUUUAAAUGUUUGUUUCCUGUCCCAGGUUGGGGAAGUUCUCACCUUGUUUUGUUCAAGUACACCAUCGGCCCCUUUCUCUCUCUUCUUCUUCUGGAUCUCCUGUGGUAAGGAUAUUGUUCCGUUUCAUUGAAUCACUUAGUUCUCUAAAUCUCCCCUUGUGAUCCAGAAUGUUUUCUCUCUUUUCCUCAGCUUCCUCUUUCCCCAUAAUUUUGUCUUCUAACUCACCUAUUCUCCCCUCUGCCUCUUCAAUCCUUGCUGUGACCACCUCUAUUUUAUUUUGCAGCUCAUUUAUAGAAUUUUUUAAUUCAUCAUUACUGUUUUUUAGUUUCUUGAUCUCUGCAGCAAUAGAUUCUCUGCUUUCUUCCAUGCUUUUUUUCAAGCCCAGCGAUUAAUCUUAUGACUAUUAUUCUAAAUUCUUGUGCAAUUAUAUUGUGUAUAUCUUUUUUGAUCAAUUCUUCAGCUGUCAUUUAAUCCUGGAAUUUCUUUUGAGGAGAACUCUCCCAUUUCAUCAUUUUGGCUAGUUUUCUGUUUUAAAAGCUUGUUAGGUGCUCUGCACCUGCAAGCACUUCUAUAUUAAAGAGGGGCCGUGCCCUGUCCAGGGCUUGGCCCUUCCAGAGAUGUUUUUGUGGAGAGUGUUACUUUCUCUCUCUUGUCGUGACCUUGGGUCCUUUAUCUCACAACUCACAGUGAUAUUUUGGACCCUCCACUACGUGUGCUUUAACUUGUUCAUUGAAGUAGCCCUGGAAAGGAAAACAAACAGACAAACAAACAAAAAGGAACCAGAAAACAAAAACACGCAAACACACAAACAUACAAACUAAAAAAACCUAGAACAAAAAAACCAGAAACACCAGCUACAAGUAAACCACAGAGUUGAGGCAGUGCUGAUGGAAGAGGCCUUAUCCCAUGCAAAGAAAGACAUGAAAGGGGCAGGGAAAAGAAAGAGUAAAAAUGGACCAGAGAAACUAUACGGCUUAAUCCAGAGAAAGAGAAAGGAGAAUAAAGAAGGAGGUGGGGAAAAAAAGAAAAAGAAAAUAAAGUUAUCUAGACAGAAAAACUACAUACUGUACAGUUUAAUCCAAAGAGGGAGAGAAAGGAAAGUGAAGAAUGAAGCGGAGAAGAAUGAAGUAAGAUAAAGUCCAGAAAGAGGAACUAUAGGGCUUAAUCCAGAGAGAAAGAAUGGAGAAUAAAGAAGGAGGUGUGGAACAUGUAUCAAGAGAAUGGAUUAAAUAUGUCUCUUAAACAAACCAACAACUAGAGUAACCAGACUAGAGGAGGGAAGAGAUGAGAAGGAGAAAAAGAAGGAAGAAUGUAUCUAUAUAAUUAGAAUUGCCCAAGAAUUAAACCAGGCAAUGUAGCAGCACAGGUCUGGAGGAGGGGAUGUCCACUGUGGGUUCUGCUGUCUGAUCCCUGAGGCCCUAUCUUGGUGGUUGUGGGGAGAAAAAUGGUGAUACUCCCCCAAAGUCUCUCCUCUGCAGACCAUUCUGUUCGAGCUGUCCUCACUGUGCCAUGGAUACAAAUGAGGCAGUCUGUCUCACUCCCCCGACUCCUGUGCCUGGCACUUGGCUGGGAUUCAAACUCUUGCUCCACAGGCCCCAGAACUGGGGAAGUGUCUCUCUGCACCACGUUAUAUGUGGUCCCUUGCUGGCGGGUGCAGGCAGGCUUUGUCCCGUCCCACAGCACUCCUGGGAGGAGAUCGCUUUCUCCUAGUGCAAACUGCACUCCUCACCUAGCCCCUGAGCCCGGGGCUGGCUCCCCUCCUCCCCCGGUUUGUGAUCUGGGCAGCUGGCCUCACUUUGCAGCACACCCUGCAGUUGAGAUUGGAUCUUACUCUGACCUGGUCUGAGGUUUCUCUCUUGUCCAGAUACAGUCCUAUGUUUCCCCAGCCACCCUUUCUCUUCCCUUUGUCUCUCCAAAGAAGCGGAUCUCACCCUCUGUUCAUUUCAUCUCUCCCAGUUCACAAUCAUGUACCUAUGGCCUGUCAGGUUGUCCCGGUGGGUCCCUGGAAUUGCGACUGUCUCUUUUCCUCCCGGACUCUUGGGAUUCAAAGUCCUUUGGCUUCAAUACCUCUUUGUUUUGGAGAAGAGGGAAGUUUAGAUUUCCCUACUUCUCCACGAUGUUGGCUCCUCCCCUCAGGUGUUACCACUUUAAAUGGUUGAAAGGAUGCAGCUCUGAAGCCAUCGGAUCCUGGCCUUUAGUUUGUUGGGAGUUUUUUGAUUACUGGUUGAAUUUGAUUGCUAUUCAUCAUUCUGUUCAAAUUUUCUA